rnacentral:rRNA from 1 species
GACGAACGCUGGCGGCGUGCUUAACACAUGCAAGUCGAACGGAAAGGCCCUGCUUGCAGGGUUCUCGAGUGGCGAACGGGUGAGUAACACGUGGGUGAUCUGCCCUGCACUUCGGGAUAAGCUUGGGAAACUGGGUCUAAUACCGGAUAGGACCGCACUUUAGUGUGUGUGGUGGAAAGUUUUUUCGGUGUAGGAUGAGCUCGCGGCCUAUCAGCUUGUUGGUGGGGUAAUGGCCUACCAAGGCGGCGACGGGUAGCCGGCCUGAGAGGGUGUACGGCCACAUUGGGACUGAGAUACGGCCCAGACUCCUACGGGAGGCAGCAGUGGGGAAUAUUGCACAAUGGGCGCAAGCCUGAUGCAGCGACGCCGCGUGGGGGAUGAAGGCCUUCGGGUUGUAAACUCCUUUCGCUAGGGACGAAGCUUUGUUGUGACGGUACCUAGAUAAGAAGCACCGGCUAACUACGU